rnacentral:rRNA from 1 species
AAAUGCCUGGCGGCAGCUUACCAUGCAAGUCGAGCGGUAACAGGAGAAGCUUGCUUCUCGCUGACGAGCGGCGGACGGGUGAGUAAUACUUAGGAAUCUACCUAGUAGUGGGGGAUAGCACGGGGAAACUCGUAUUAAUACCGCAUACGACCUACGGGAGAAAGGGGGCAGUUUACUGCUCUCGCUAUUAGAUGAGCCUAAGUCGGAUUAGCUAGAUGGUGGGGUAAAGGCCUACCAUGGCGACGAUCUGUAGCUGGUCUGAGAGGAUGAUCAGCCACACCGGGACUGAGACACGGCCCGGACUCCUACGGGAGGCAGCAGUGGGGAAUAUUGGACAAUGGGGGAAACCCUGAUCCAGCCAUGCCGCGUGUGUGAAGAAGGCCUUUUGGUUGUAAAGCACUUUAAGCAGUGAAGAAGACUCCAUGGUUAAUACCCAUGGACGAUGACAUUAGCUGCAGAAUAAGCACCGGCUAACUCUGUGCCAGCAGCCGCGGUAAU